rnacentral:rRNA from 1 species
AGCCCAGAGCCUGAAUCAGUGUGUGUGUUAGUGGAAGCGUCUGGAAAGGCGCGCGAUACAGGGUGACAGCCCCGUACACAAAAAUGCACAUACUGUGAGCUCGAUGAGUAGGGCGGGACACGUGGUAUCCUGUCUGAAUAUGGGGGGACCAUCCUCCAAGGCUAAAUACUCCUGACUGACCGAUAGUGAACCAGUACCGUGAGGGAAAGGCGAAAAGAACCCCGGCGAGGGGAGUGAAAAAGAACCUGAAACCGUGUACGUACAAGCAGUGGGAGCCUCUUAAUGGGGUGACUGCGUACCUUUUGUAUAAUGGGUCAGCGACUUAUAUUCUGUAGCAAGGUUAACCGAAUAGGGGAGCCGAAGGGAAACCGAGUCUUAACUGGGCGUUAAGUUGCAGGGUAUAGACCCGAAACCCGGUGAUCUAGCCAUGGGCAGGUUGAAGGUUGGGUAACACUAACUGGAGGACCGAACCGACUAAUGUUGAAAAAUUAGCGGAUGACUUGUGGCUGGGGGUGAAAGGCCAAUCAAACCGGGAGAUAGCUGGUUCUCCCCGAAAGCUAUUUAGGUAGCGCCUCGUGAAUUCAUCUCCGGGGGUAGAGCACUGUUUCGGCAAGGGGGUCAUCCCGACUUACCAACCCGAUGCAAACUGCGAAUACCGGAGAAUGUUAUCACGGGAGACACACGGCGGGUGCUAACGUCCGUCGUGAAGAGGGAAACAACCCAGACCGCCAGCUAAGGUCCCAAAGUCAUGGUUAAGUGGGAAACGAUGUGGGAAGGCCCAGACAGCCAGGAUGUUGGCUUAGAAGCAGCCAUCAUUUAAAGAAAGCGUAAUAGCUCACUGGUCGAGUCGGCCUGCGCGGAAGAUGUAACGGGGCUAAACCAUGCACCGAAGCUGCGGCAGCGACACUAUGUGUUGUUGGGUAGGGGAGCGUUCUGUAAGCCUGUGAAGGUGUACUGUGAGGUAUGCUGGAGGUAUCAGAAGUGCGAAUGCUGACAUAAGUAACGAUAAAGCGGGUGAAAAGCCCGCUCGCCGGAAGACCAAGGGUUCCUGUCCAACGUUAAUCGGGGCAGGGUGAGUCGACCCCUAAGGCGAGGCCGAAAGGCGUAGUCGAUGGGAAACAGGUUAAUAUUCCUGUACUUGGUGUUACUGCGAAGGGGGGACGGAGAAGGCUAUGUUGGCCGGGCGACGGUUGUCCCGGUUUAAGCGUGUAGGCUGGUUUUCCAGGCAAAUCCGGAAAACUAAGGCUGAGGCGUGAUGACGAGGCACUACGGUGCUGAAGCAACAAAUGCCCUGCUUCCAGGAAAAGCCUCUAAGCAU